AUUGAACGCUGGCGGCAGGCCUAACACAUGCAAGUCGAACGAGUGGCGGACGGGUGAGUAAUGUCUGGGAAACUGCCUGAUGGCGGGGGAUAACUACUGGAAACGGUCGCUAAUACCGAAUACCCUAAGUUGUGCCCAGGUGGGAUUAGCUAGGUGGUGGGGUAACGGCUCACCAAGGCGACGAUCCCUAGCUGGGCUGAGAGGAUGACCGGCCACACUGGAACUGAGACACGGUCCAGACUCCUACGGGAGGCAGCAGUGGGGAAUAUUGGACAAUGGGCGAAAGGCUGACGCAGCCAUGCCGCGUGUAUGAAGAAGGCCUUCGGGUUGUAAAGCUCUUUUAGUGGGGAGGCGUUACCCGCAGAAGAAGCACCGGCUAACUCCGUGCCAGCAGCCGCGGUAAUUC
rnacentral:rRNA from 1 species